rnacentral:miRNA from 1 species
AAGCAAAUCUCUUAGAUCUUGUUAAAAUAUGGAUUCUGAUUCCAUAGGUCUAGGUGGAGCAUGAGAAUCUGUGUUUCUAACAGGCUUCCAGAAGAUACUGAU